CCACCCUCACACUGCUGUUUUCACUACUGACACUACUGAGUUCAGGGCUGCUUCUCUCUGCGUGUAGCUUCAUAAAUGUGUGUGUGUGUGUGUGUGUGUGUGAUUUGAGUGUUAAGACGUGUUAUGUUGAAAGACUGUGUAGUGAGAGUGUGUGGGAGUAUAUGUAAAAAUCUGUUCAUUAACAAGUUGCCAUAAUUAUAUGCAUACAUGAUUAACUGGUGUGUGUGUUUGGCAGCUAUCUCCCAGAGGAGAGCCCUUCAUCCAUCCAGUCGCAUUGGACUCUAUUAUGUAAGUCAUCAUGAGUCCUUUAUCUCCAUGAGUCUACUGGGUUAUUAAUGAUCUACUCAUUUAUGAUCUGUGUGUUUGAUCCCGACUGUAUUGGCAGAUCCAAGGUCGGUGUUUAUAGUGUGUUUAGUGUAAGCUCUGUUCCCACACGUUCCCUGUUAGUGUGCCUUUGAUCAACUGCUACAGUCUGUUCAUCAAUAAAGUCAUAAAUAAAAGCAAUCAUACAGAGCUGUUGUCUGUCACCACUGGUGUUGGUUGUUAGUCGCUACAUUGGAUAUCUUCUUGUUCGGUGGGUCUAUUGCUGAAGCUGCCAACCACUGGUUGGCCAGAAUCAGUGGGGAGAUCCCAAAGAUACUAAAUGGUGUGUGGCCUAUGGUCAGUAUCAGUCAGUUUUAUGACCUGCCAUUACAAAUGACUGAUGGUAAGGGAGGGCUGGAAUAUAUUCCUCUGUUUCUCUGAGGGGUGAUCAGAGAGAAGAACUGUCUUCUCUUUAGAAAUCAUCAUGGAAACUGUCCAUCGUGGCCCUGUGUCUGCUGGGAGUUUUGGGUUCAACCACAGCCAAAGGUAAGAAACCUGUCCAUCGUGGCCCUGUGUCUGCUGGGUGUUUUUGGUUCAACCACAGCCAAAGGUAAGAAACCUGUCCAUCGUGGCUCUGUGUCUGCUGGGAGUUUUGGGUUCAACCACAGCCAAAGGUAAGAAACCUGUCCAUCGUGGCCCUGUGUCUGCUGGGUGUUUUGGGUUCAACCACAGCCAAAGGUAAGAAACAUGUCCAUCGUGGCCCUGUGUCACCUGGCCUGACUUUUCAUCGACUUACUUCUAGACAGUCACUAUUACUUUCUUCUGAGUUUUGUUUUUCAUGAUAUGCACUCCUUUCAUUGGUUUCUACUUUCCCUCUCCUCUCAAACCUUCUCACUCUCUCCUUUCAAGAACAUAUCUCCUCACUCCACUAUCGGUCUUUCUCACCUGAUCUCGCUCUUCUCCUACUCUUCCCUCUGAUCUCCUCUUACUUGUCUUAAACUUCUAAACUCUUAAGUUCUCUUCUUUCACUCCUCUGUUCAUCCUCCUCUCUCACCUUGCUACACAAGUUCUUCUGAAUCUGCCAAAUCAACGAAGUAGGAAACAACUAUCUGCCGUCCUAAUGGAACAGGACUGACUUUGACGCUGUGGACCCUGACACCACUGACUACCUUAUGGCCCUGUGACCUGCACUUUUACGUGGAGAGAGACCCCACCAUGGACCCGUCCAUUGCUGAGACCACAGGAAACGCCAUCCGCAUCCUCAACAAAAUCCCCAAGCGAUUCUUCCUCCUGGUGCAAGGUGAGCAAAGGGUUAACCAAGCUGUCAGUCAAUGAAUCGAUCCAUCAACCCAAUCCCAACAGGUUCCUCUUUGAUAUGGGUGUACGGUUGUUUGUUAAAAUGGAAUCAAUCUAUUGAGCGAAUAAUCACACCACUUGCUUAUAUAAUUGAACACCAAGAUGCAUUGAUUUCAAAGUGUGUGUAACCUUGUUUUUGUAUCUUGCGUCAAUAUAGAGGGUAGUUAGUUGCGGUGCUGAUGCUGUGUGCCUCUCAGCAAGACAGUUGGGGACUGCAGUACACUACAUGUAUCUGCAGACUGUAGUAGGAUCUGCAUGUGUUUGCCGCAGUGUGAGGAGGGGGAACAUUAUGUUGGGAUGCGACAUAUUACUGUUCUACAGCGGUGGCUCUUGGGCCCAGGCCCUCAUCCAUCCUACCUUCAAUCUGAGACACCAUCCUGGGACCUGAUUGUGCUGUUGAGUGUCUUGCAUCUUCAACAAUGAGUUUUAAAUAACACAUCGCAGCUGGCUUUAAAUAGAGCUGGGCAUAUGGUGCACCGUACCCUCUUCUCCUGCUCCCUGGGGAUCCAACAUAUUAGCCCAACUCCUCUCCACUUUCUCACUGCACUGAUGAGGAGAACAGGAGCUAGGUUGGUUUUACUUGGCUAAGUUACACUUGUAGUAGAGUAAUUUCAACUUUACUCCUUGUCCCUUACACACAGACCUACGGUCAGCUUACCUUCCCCCAAUCUUAACCUUAAAUCAUUAGAGAUGACACCACAAUCCUGAGCUGAGAUCAGUGUUUAUGGGUAACUUCAUCCUUCUCUUUCUCUCUGUGUGUCACGUGGGCGUAUCGACCAGGGCCACCAUGCCAGCAGAGCCUUGCACGGGACAGUUGCCUUUGACAAUGACGUCGCCAAGGGCCUGGAGCUGCCCAACGAGGAGGAAACUCUCACCCUGUUGACAGCUGGCCACUCCCACGCCUUCACCUUCAAUGGAUACCCCUUCAGAGGCCAAAGCAUUCUGGGAACGUCCUCAUUCCGACAGAUCUCCCCCCACCUUCCUGCUCUGCACCCAGGGUUGCCAUGACUGCAGUUUUCCGGCCAAAUUGGGAUACUUUGAAAACGACUACUUGGGCUACUUCUAAAUUGCAACAUAUUAACCUGCUAGAACUGCUAGAACGGGAAAUCUAAACUGUAUGGGAAGGAUAUGCUGCCUUACACAACCGUGAUGUAUGGAAACGGCCCUGGAUACAAAGUCGUAGACAACAAGCGCCCUGCCAGCCAUAAGGUGGAC